rnacentral:rRNA from 1 species
UACAGAGGGUGCAAGCGUUGCUCGGAAUCAUUGGGCGUAAAGGGUAGGUAGGUGGUCUCAUUUGUCUGGGGUGAAAGCCUUGAGCUUAACUCGAGAAGUGCCCCGGAAACGGUGAGACUGGAGUCUUGGAGAGGUUAGCGGAAUUCCCGGUGUAGCGGUGAAAUGCGUAGAGAUCGGGAGGAACACCAAUGGCGAAGGCAGCUCGCUGGGACGGUACUGACGCUGAGACGCGAAAGCGUGGGGAGCAAACAGG